rnacentral:rRNA from 1 species
UACGAAGGGGGCUAGCGUUGCUCGGAAUUACUGGGCGUAAAGGGCGCGUAGGCGGCCACCGCAAGUCGAUUGUGAAAUCUCCGGGCUUAACCCGGAAAGGUCAACCGAUACUGCGGGGCUAGAGUGCAGAAGGGGCAACUGGAAUUCUCGGUGUAGCGGUGAAAUGCGUAGAUAUCGAGAGGAACACCUGCGGCGAAGGCGGGUUGCUGGGCUGACACUGACGCUGAAGUGCGAAAGCUAGGGGAGCGAACGGG